rnacentral:lncRNA from 1 species
UAGGUGCUUAUGUACUAGGCAAAAUGGAUUGGGUUUGGUAUGUUUAUAAUUUGGAUUUGAAUGAUGCUUUGAUGAUAUGUUUUAAUGAUAUAAAUGUGGUACCAAUAAGGGUACAUUGGUUAGGCACCUAGGAUGAUUAUUUUGACAUGUUUUGAAUGUAUUUGAUCAUGUUUUGAAUUGGUUAAACGAAUGAUUUUUGAGUUAUUUAAUGCCAAAGCAUGUAGGAAAUGGUAAAUUUUUUUGUUUAAGGCACAUUUUAAGUCCACACGGC